AGCUUCCUCAAAAGUAACUAGACUCCAUGGACCCAGAGACUCUCUUGAGACCCAUUAAGUUCUCCUAACCCUGCUCCAAAGCAUGAUAGAGCUACACUUGGUUUCCUUGCAGAUGGACGAAUGAACGUGGAAAUGUGAGGGGGGAAACAAGACAUGAUGAAGAAUGUUAACAAAAAGAGCCUUUGACGAGGGGUGUGUUUAUCAUCUUCUUGCUGGAUAUGAGAGUGUCCCAGUGGCUAAACUAGAAACCUACCUUACACACUUCAAAGUCUCCAGGGCAGGGAGUAUAUGGGAACAGAUGAAGCUCUCUCAUACCAGAUCAGAUCACUGGUCCAUCUGUUGGCAUCCAUCUGUUUCGAGAGACAAUGGAGUACACCUCCGGGGAUGAAGUCAAACCACUGUGUU